rnacentral:tRNA from 1 species
ACUUAAGUAGCUUAUAUAAAGAGUAUAACUUUGAAGAAGUUAGGGAAGUGUUAAACUUUUAAGUA